rnacentral:misc_RNA from 1 species
AAAGGAAGACAUGGCAGAUACUCAGCCUGCUCAGGAGGCGCCCGCCGCCGACGUCCCCCGCGCCGAACGCAACUUUGGCCGAGGCCGUGGCGGACGCGGUGGCCGUGGCCGUGGCCGCGGUGGUCCGGGGGAGGAGAAAGAGUGGGUCCCGUGCACCAAGCUGGGUCGCCUCGUGAAGGCGCAGAAGGUCACCUCUCUGGAAGAGAUCUUCCUCUUCUCGAUGCCCAUCAAGGAGCACCAGAUCGUGGACACCCUCAUCGCUGAGGGCCAGCUGCACGACGAGAUGAUGAAGAUCUACCCCGUGCAGAAAGCCACAUCGGCCGGCCAGCGCACCCGCUUCAAGGCCUUCAACGUCGUCGGCGACUGUGACGGCCACAUCGGCAUCGGUGCCCGCGUCGGCAAGGAGGUGUCGCUGGCGAUUCGCGCCUCGAUGAUUGCGGCCAAGCUCAACAUCGUGCCGGUGCGCCGCGGCUACUGGGGCAACAAGAUCGGUGAGCCACAUACGAUCCCGAUGAAGGUGACCGGAAAGUGCGGUUCCGUCGCCGUCCGUCUCGUGCCCGCUCCCCGCGGUACCGGCAUCGUCGCCGCCCCCGUGCCCAAGAAGAUCCUCGAGUUUGCCGGUGUCGAGGACGUGUACACGAGCUCCCGUGGCAAGACCCGCACGCACGGCAACCUGAUCAUGGCUACUUUCUACGCCCUGCGCAAGACCUACGGCUUCCUCACGCCCGACCUCUGGGCGGAAACGGAGCCCAGCCGCGAUCCGACGGAUGAGCAUGCUGAGCUGCUUGCCGAGAUGACCACCGCCUAAGGUUUGGAUAGCAGAGAAGGUCUUGUACCUCGAGAGUGACCGCCAUUUCGCCUCUCUUUUUCUUUUCGUCACUUUUUUAGUGUUUUUCUCGUGACACGUCUUUGAAAGG